rnacentral:rRNA from 1 species
AUGCUGCUCCAGCCGAUGAACGACCCGCGACAAGCCGUCGUCCCGGCCGUUCAUCCAGUCUCUUGGGUCAUGGGCGCCCGGCGAGAAAACCUGGGGCUAAAAUGCGCGGAUCCCUACGAGCCCAACGUCGGCGCGGACCUCCGGGCCAAGGAGAGGGACCCCAUGGAGCACCCCGACGCCGACUACAUGUCCAAGAUGCAGCAGGGCCACCUGAGCCCGUCCAUGCGCGCCGAGCUCGUGCUCUGGAUGGACGCUUUCGCCCGCCACCUCGGCGGCCUCCCGGAGGGCACGCUCUGCCGCGCCGUCGCCUACCUCGACCGCGUCCUGUCCGUGCGCCCCGUGCCGGCCCACGACGAGGCGCUCCAGCUCGUGGCUGCCGCCGCCGUCUCCCUCGGGGCCAAGCACGAGCAGUUCGCCAGCGGGCGGAGGCUCAACGCCGAAGUCGUCCAGGCGUUCCUGGGGACCACCGUGCACGUGGUGGAGGAGAUGGAGUGGGAGCUCUUCAUGGAUCUCGGCUGCGCCAUGGACGGCCCGACCGCGUACACCUUCGUCGAACACUUCACGAGGUUCUUCGGGCGAGAAGAUGAGUUUUUGGUGAGGUCCCUGGCGCUUCGUCUGGUCAACUUGACGUUGGGGUUUUUCGGGUUCGUUGGGCGGAUCCUGCCGUCUGCCGUGGCUGCAUCGGCGCUGUUCCUCGCCAGGCAGAUCCUCGGCGUGCAGUUGCGCCAUAGAGAAGCUGCUUCCUAG